rnacentral:tRNA from 1 species
GCGGAUGUGGCGAAAUUGGUAGACGCACUAGACUUAGGAUCUAGCGCCGAAAGGCAUGGGGGUUCGAGUCCCUCCAUCCGCACUA